rnacentral:rRNA from 1 species
AUGAGAACAAAAUAUAGAUGUAAGGCCGCCAGCGCCUUUGCCACUAAUGACAGUCUCGUAGCCUCCGAAGCCGCCGAAAGAAAUAUGGUCACCACCAUAGACGCCACCCUCUUUCAAGUCAUUCACCACACCUUUUCGGCCCUUGCUAAUCAGGACCAUGAGGGUAGUGAAGAUGUAGCCGAUGUCGAUGCCAAUGAUCCUACCAUAGCUGUGGUUGAUGAACAGUCAGCCCGUGCAAUUUCCCAUGCCUCGCGUGCCCCCAAAAUUAAGAUGUUUUUUCCAUCUGAAGCGAAGGCAUGGUCCUAG